rnacentral:lncRNA from 1 species
AAUUGCUCGAGGAGCUAAAUUGAGGCGUGGUUUGAAUUUCGCGGACGAAAUUCUUUUAAGGGGUGGAGAAUGUAACAUACCGGAUUUUGAUAUAGAAGUAAAAAAUAAAUAAAAAUAGUGUGAGAUACUAUUUUUUAUUGGACUGAUAGAAAAAAAAUGUACGUCUGAAAUGACCUGUGCUGAAAUCGGAAUGAAAACAGAAGAUUUAGAAUUUUCUGUGAGAGACGGGGCUGAUAUUUUAGCAGAAAAUGCACAGUGUCAGAAAAUUAUGAAACUGGAGAAUAUGUCAGAAUUAUUUUUAUGAGACUAGAUUUAAAGUUUCAUGCCAUUCUGACGCCCGAAAAGUGAAAAAUAAAAUCUGACUACUAUCUGCUAGAGAUUAUAGUUCGGUAGGGCUUUCGGUGACCAAAUAGGAUCGAAACUGAAAGAUUAAAAUUUUUUUCAUUAAGUUAAGUAAAAUCAAGCAUGACUGCCAAAUUUGAGCUCAAACGGACCUAGUGUUAUUGAACAUAGAUAAAUAAUGAGUAGCAAUGAACUCAGAGUUAAGUAAACCUAGGUUAUGGCAUGAGUGGCAUUGAACCAUGAGUCAAGUGAACCUAGGUAGUAAAGAACAUCGGACCUAGUGUUAUGGAACCUACGCAAUGAACAUAGUGACAUGGGAUCUAAUGUUAGUAAACUUAGGUCGAAUAAUGGCUUGAACCUAGAAAGGUUGACAUAGGGUCAGACCAACCUUAGAGAUGUUGAAAGUGGAUUCCGGAAUCCCAGGUCUUGUGGCCUUAGUGAACGUGGUAUGCUCAUGGUUGUGGAUUGGAUCAUACUCACCUAUAAGUCCAUACUUGAGGGCAGUCGCUCCCCCUCGAGCUAUGAGCUCCGAAGUGAUCAUCACUGUGUUGGAGUUUCCGUAGAGGUUGAGCCUGUCGGGUCGUAGCGAGUAUCUUCCCGAUUGAUGAGCUCCGGAGUAGUCAUCACUGGGUCAUAGCGAAUAUCUCCCCAGAGGACGGUCCUGUCGGGUUGUAGCGAGUAUCUCCCCGAUAGUAGGGAUUUGGGUUGGUGAGUUCUGAGGCGAAACCUACGCGUUAGCUGAGAGGAUUGGGUAUUGAUUGUGGCAAUUGCCAUGCACCAUGAGCAGUAUAUAUGUUGGUUCUCCUCGCCCAUUGGGCGAUGUGGUUUGAGGAUUUAAGGUUGAGGUGCAUGUGAGACGUCCUUCACCUUGAGCCUGACAGAGCGCGGCAUAUCCGCGGUUGAUUGACUCAAGACCGAGUCGAGUGGCAUAGUUGGUUAAGGUAAAGUAACCUUAGGAAAGAUUGGUUAGUGCUAAAGAAUAGCGAAUAGUAAAGAAUGGCAACGAAGAAAGAACGAUUAAUACUAAGGAAAAGCAAAUAAUAAAGAACGGCUAAGAAUUAAAGAAAGGCAAGUGAAAGAAAGUAGAAUUAGUUAACCUACUUGCAUAAGUUGCAUGAUUUACAUAUUGCAUGUCUUGAGGCAUAAACAUGUAUUUAAUAUUUGUAUUAAAUAUCUAUAGAUAUCUGUUGGACUAACAUGUUUGCAGUGCCUCCUUGGACCUGGUGGGUCGAGCUUUUUCCUUGGGUAGCCGUACCUACUGGGAACUAUGGACAAUCGUUUUCACCCCCGUGUUGUUUUUGGGGGUACAGGUUCACACAUGAGCGGCGCGGUGGCGCGAGGAAAGGGCGUAUCUCCGUAGAUAGCGCCCUACAACCAAGACCAGAAAUAGCAUUACCCCGAGUCGGCUUAGCUAGGGGUUGUAGAAAAGAUGUAAAACAAUAUUGUAAUAAUCUUGUGAUCGAUAAUUGUAUUUGGAAGGAAAUGUAAUCGAAAAUUGUAAAUGUAUAACUUGGGAUGAAUGCUUGUAAUAGCUUAGUUGUUUUAUAUUUUUGAUACUUUCUUAUGCAAUCUAUGCUUGAUUUAUGUUCCUGGUUGGAACAUCGUGAAUUGUAUUGAUUGCGACGCCUACUGUAACAUAUCAGAUUUUGGUAUAAAAAUAAAAAUAAAUAAAAAUAGUGUGAGAUACUAUUUUUAUUGGAUUUAGAGGAGCAAAACAUAAGUCAGAAGUGACUUGUGCUGAAAUCGGAAUGAAAACAGAAGAUCUAGAAUUUUCUAUUGAAAACGGGACAGAUAAAUUAGCAGAAAAUGCAUAGUCUCAGAAAAUUAUGAAAAUUGGAGGAUAAGCCAGAAAUAUUUUUAUGAGACUAGAUUUAAAGUUUCAUAUUUUUCUGACACCCGGAAGGUGAAAAAUAAAAUCCGACAAGUUAUUUGAUAAAGAUUACAGUUCGGUACAGUUUUU